rnacentral:rRNA from 1 species
UACGUAGGGUCCGAGCGUUGUCCGGAAUUACUGGGCGUAAAGAGCUCGUAGGUGGUUUGUCGCGUUGUCCGUGAAAACUCACAGCUCAACUGUGGGCGUGCGGGCGAUACGGGCAGACUGGAGUACUGCAGGGGAGACUGGAAUUCCUGGUGUAGCGGUGAAAUGCGCAGAUAUCAGGAGGAACACCGGUGGCGAAGGCGGGUCUCUGGGCCGAAAUUGACGCUGAGGAGCGAAAGCGUGGGGAGCAAACAGG